rfam:Schistosoma mansoni strain Puerto Rico chromosome W, complete genome
AUUCAGCUGACGAGUCCUAAAUAAGGCGAAAUGUACGUCCUACAU